rnacentral:rRNA from 1 species
UACAGAGGGUGCGAGCGUUGUCCGGAAUUACUGGGCGUAAAGGGUGCGUAGGCGGUUCGUUAAGUCUGUCGUGAAAUCCCCGGGCUCAACCUGGGAAUGGCGAUGGAUACUGGCGAGCUAGAGUGUGUCAGAGGAUGGUGGAAUUCCCGGUGUAGCGGUGAAAUGCGUAGAGAUCGGGAGGAACAUCAGUGGCGAAGGCGGCCAUCUGGGACAACACUGACGCUGAAGCACGAAAGCGUGGGGAGCAAACAGG